rnacentral:rRNA from 1 species
GACGAACGCUGGCGGCGUGCCUAAUACAUGCAAGUCGAGCGGAGCGGCGGACGGGUGAGUAAUGCCUAGGAAUUCGCCUGGUAGUGGGGGAUAACUUCGGGAUACGGGAGCUCAUACCGCAUCCUAUCAGAUGCGCCUAGGGCGGAUUAGCUAGUGGGUGGGGUAAAGGCCUACCAAGGCUACGAUCCGUAUCUGGUCUGAGAGGAUGAUCAGUCACACUGGUACGGAGACACGGUCCAGAAUCCUACGGGAGGCAGCAGUAGGGAAUAUUAGUCAAUGGGCGAAAGCCUGAUCCAGCCAUGCCGCGUGGGUGAAGAAGGUUUUCGGAUUGUAAAUCACUUUAGUUUGGGAGGCGUUACCAACAGAAUAAGCACCGGCUAACUUCGUGCCAGCCGCCGCGGUAAUAC